rnacentral:RNase_P_RNA from 1 species
UGAGUCGGUUGAGUGAUUGCCUUGCUUAUCCUGUUUUCAGGAUUUGUCGGGGAGGAAAGUCCGAGCACCGCAGAGCAGGAUGCCUUCUAACGGAAGGAGUUCGUGAGAGCAUGGAAAGUGCAGCAGAAAGUAAACCGCCCCGGUUUAUCGGGGUAAGGGUGAAAGGGGGGUGUAAGAGACCACCAGUCUUGGUAGUAAUAUCAAGAGCUUGUAAACCCCAUCCGGUGCAAGACCGAGUAAGUCUCAAGAUGUGGCUCGCAUCGAUAUAAGAGACGGGUAGGUCGCGUGAACCUGAUGGCGACAUCAGGACCAGGUGAAUAAUCACUCAUCCAUCCGCCUACCGACGGAUGGUGGACAGAACACGGCUUAUAGACCGACUCAAUUU